rnacentral:rRNA from 1 species
UACGUAGGGCGCAAGCGUUGUCCGGAAUUAUUGGGCGUAAAGAGCUCGUAGGCGGCCUGUUACGUCUGCUGUGAAAUCCCGGGGCUUAACCCCGGGCGUGCAGUGGAUACGGGCAGGCUGGAGGCAGGCAGGGGAGAACGGAAUUCCCGGUGUAGCGGUGAAAUGCGCAGAUAUCGGGAGGAACACCGGUGGCGAAGGCGGGUCUCUGGGCAGUAACUGACGCUGAGGAACGAAAGCGUGGGUAGCGAACAGG